ACGAACGCUGGCGGCGUGCUUAACACAUGCAAGUCGAACGGUGAAGCGCCUUCCUUUUUGGUGGGUGUGGAUGAGUGGCGAACGGGUGAGUAACACGUGAGUAACCUGCCCCCUUCUUCUGGAUAACCGCAUGAAAGUGUGGCUAAUACGGGAUAUUCUGGGUCUGUCGCAUGAUGGGUCUGGGAAAGAUAUUGUUUCGGUGGGGGACGGGCUCGCGGCCUAUCAGCUUGUUGGUGGGGUGAUGGCCUACCAAGGCGGUGACGGGUAGCCGGCCUGAGAGGGUGGACGGUCACACUGGGACUGAGACACGGCCCAGACUCCUACGGGAGGCAGCAGUGGGGAAUAUUGCACAAUGGGCGCAAGCCUGAUGCAGCGACGCCGCGUGAGGGAUGGAGGCCUUCGGGUUGUGAACCUCUUUCGCCAGUGAAGCAGGCCUGCCUCGUUUGUGGGUGGGUUGACGGUAGCUGGAUAAGAAGCGCCGGCUAACUACGUG
rnacentral:rRNA from 1 species